rnacentral:rRNA from 1 species
UACAGAGGUCUCAAGCGUUGUUCGGAUUCAUUGGGCGUAAAGAGCUCGUAGGCGGUCUGUCGCGUCUGCUGUGAAAUCCCGAGGCUCAACCUCGGGCUUGCAGUGGGUACGGGCAGGCUAGAGUGCGGUAGGGGAGAAUGGAACUCCAGGUGUAGCGGUGAAAUGCGUAGAUAUCUGGAGGAACACCGGUGGCGAAGGCGGCAUUCUGGACCGAAACUGACGCUGAGGGACGAAAGCCAGGGGAGCGAACGGG